GUGCAUCCUUUGUAAACCCCCUAGUUGCUGAAUGUGUAGCCUCUGGGACAUGGAAGGAUGCAAGAUUGAUUUUAGGGAAUCCAAAGCCGGUGACUUGUCAGUGGCUUUUGGCUAUUUCAACUCUAAGACAGAC